GGUCAAGAGCUCCAGUGCAAAGCCCCGGCUCGCUGGACAGCAACCCUCCUCCGCGGCGGGGUGCUCCGGGUGAGGACCAGGCCGUCGCCAGCAGGUGACGGCAAGCGCGGACU
rnacentral:ncRNA from 2 species